GACGAACCGUGCGAACGUUGUUCGGAAUCACUGGGCUUAAAGGGCGCGUAGGCGGGCAGUCAAGUCUGUGGUGAAAUCCUCCGGCUCAACCGGAGAAUAGCUGGAGAUACUGACUGUCUCGAGGGGGGUAGGGGCAUGUGGAACUUCCGGUGGAGCGGUGAAAUGCGUGAGAUAUCGGAAGGAACGCCGGUGGCGAAGCGACGUGCUGGACCCUUUCUGACGCUGAGGCGCGAAAGCCAGGGGAGCAAACGGG
rnacentral:rRNA from 1 species